rnacentral:lncRNA from 1 species
AACGUAUUUUAGACAUCUUCUAUACAUUAGCCUAGCGUUUUUCAAAAUCGGAGUUGGCAACACUGACGCCGAAGUGAUUUGUCAACGCGUCUUGUGUUAAUUUUUUUGCGGUUAUCUAUCACAUCACAGAUCUAACAACUUACAAGUUCAAUGGAGUAAGUGAUCGAAUCUUUAAAAACAUGGGAGUUGGAGAACUUAAUACGAAAAUUCACCACCCCGGAAUCGGACGCUAAUAAAACCAUGUUCCGAUGGUAAUAGGCGACGCCCAGCGUGCCCGGGUGUUGAAAUAAGUGCAAAACUGCUCUCCGCUCGCCUUUUGUCCACCAACGGGUUCACGCCGCGUCGCCUAAUCCUCGCGCCGGUCGCCAGCAUUCCCCGCUGUGUUCCGGUAACCUACAGGCGGCAAGCUGACGCUGCCGUCAUCCACACGACACCAUCUCUGAGGCGGCUGACGUGGCAGUCGUGGUGGUCUGAGGCGGCUGACGUAGCACGUUUGAGGUUAGACCUUUCCAAUCACUCUUAUCUACAUCAUCGAACCGGCAUAAUUAUGGUUCUGGCACCCUCCGUGUUACUAUACCUUUUAUUUUAAUAUCCGCCGUACACCGUUUCUACCCGUAGUUUUAACUCAAGAGUUCGCUGAUCCACGUUUGUUCCCUUAAAUAAUUUAAAACCUUAGUCUCAUGUUCAAGUGUAGCUAGCCCUCGGCUCUGUAAACUUAGUAAAUUAGAGAGUAAUUUCAUAAUAUAAGGCAAGGCUCAGUGGAGUCCUUUGUAAUAGAUUAAUUAACAGAGAAAUAAUUACCUUUUGCCCUUAAGAGUUGUUUCAAUUUUAAAUCUUGUCUGCUAGCAUAAUGGCCCCCCAAUUAUAGAUAUUGUAGCAAUAUUGAAA